rnacentral:rRNA from 1 species
GGGUUGUGAGGUUAAGCGACUAAGCGUACACGGUGGAUGCCCUGGCAGUCAGAGGCGAUGAAGGACGUGCUAAUCUGCGAAAAGCGUCGGUAAGGUGAUAUGAACCGUUAUAGCCGGCGAUGUCCGAAUGGGGAAACCCAGUGCAAUUCGUUGCACUAUCGUUAACUGAAUACAUAGGUUAACGAGGCGAACCGGGGGAACUGAAACAUCUAAGUACCCCGAGGAAAAGAAAUCAACCGAGAUUCCCCCAGUAGCGGCGAGCGAACGGGGAGCAGCCCAGAGUCUGAAUCAGCUUGUGUGUUAGUGGAACGGUCUGGAAAGUCCGACGGUACAGGGUGAUAGUCCCGUACACCAAAAUGCACAGGCUGUGAACUCGAAGAGUAGGGCGGGACACGUGGUAUCCUGUCUGAAUAUGGGGGGACCAUCCUCCAAGGCUAAAUACUCCUGACUGACCGAUAGUGAACCAGUACCGUGAGGGAAAGGCGAAAAGAACCCCGGCGAGGGGAGUGAAAAAG